rnacentral:lncRNA from 1 species
GGAUGGUAAGAUUGCUGGAAUCUGUCACGAUGUCUGUUUCCUUGAUUGCACUGUUCUUGUGGUACUGCGUGGGUGGGGGUGACUGGACUCCAUACACAGGCGCACGACCCUGAGCCAAAACCAUUCACACACACCACUUACCGCGUCAGCUGUGAGCUCACAGGCUGUCUAGUGAGGGUGUCCAGUUAGUGAACCGGGUCAGUGGAAACGCUCUGCAGCGCCAUGUGGAUGAGGCCAGGAGCUGUGUUGGGAAGGCUGGGAGGGCAAACCAGAAUCUUCACUUCGUUCCCUCAGAAAGCAAGCGAAUAGGACAGGAUAGUGCCUUGAGAUUACUUGAGUUUCACAAAGGUAAGAGACCUUUUUUUCUAUAAAAGUGAGACUUCUUAAGUACACAAGCUUGCUAAUAGAGGGGUCCUUAAAAGGUCAUUUUUUAUAAGAAAACAAUCCAAAUGUUGAAUAUGAUUUUAGUAUUUUGAACAUUAGUUUUGAGCCUAUUUUAUACAGG